CCUUGACCUCAAAUCAGGUAGGAUUACCCGCUGAACUUAAGCAUAUCAAUAAGCGGAGGA
rnacentral:rRNA from 1 species